rnacentral:rRNA from 1 species
AAUACCGGCAAGCAAACACAUGCAAAGUCGAGCGGUAGCAACAGAGAGCUUGCUCUCGGGUGACGAGCGGCGGACGGGUGAGUAAUGUCUGGGAAACUGCCUGAUGGAGGGGGAUAACUACUGGAAACGGUAGCUAAUACCGCAUAACGUCGCAAGACCAAAGUGGGGGACCUUCGGGCCUCAUGCCAUCAGAUGUGCCCAGAUGGGAUUAGCUAGUAGGUGGGGUAACGGCUCACCUAGGCGACGAUCCCUAGCUGGUCUGAGAGGAUGACCAGCCACACUGGAACUGAGACACGGUCCAGACUCCUACGGGAGGCAGCAGUGGGGAAUAUUGCACAAUGGGCGCAAGCCUGAUGCAGCCAUGCCGCGUGUGUGAAGAAGGCCUUCGGGUUGUAAAGCACUUUCAGCGGGGAGGAAGGCGAUGAGGUUAAUAACCUCGUCGAUUGACGUUACCCGCAGAAGAAGCACCGGCUAACUCCGUGCCAGCAGCCGCGGUAAUACGGAGGGUGCAAGCGUUAAUCGGAAUUACUGGGCGUAAAGCGCACGCAGGCGGUCUGUCAAGUCGGAUGUGAAAUCCCCGGGCUCAACCUGGGAACUGCAUUCGAAACUGGCAGGCUAGAGUCUUGUAGAGGGGGGUAGAAUUCCAGGUGUAGCGGUGAAAUGCGUAGAGAUCUGGAGGAAUACCGGUGGCGAAGGCGGCCCCCUGGACAAAGACUGACGCUCAGGUGCGAAAGCGUGGGGAGCAAACAGGAUUAGAUACCCUGGUAGUCCACGCCGUAAACGAUGUCGAUUUGGAGGUUGUGCCCUUGAGGCGUGGCUUCCGGAGCUAACGCGUUAAUCGACCGCCUGGGGGAGUACGGCCGCAAGGUUAAACUCAAUGAAUUGACGGGGGCCGCACAAGCGGUGGAGCAUGUGGUUUAUUCGAUGCAACGCGGAGACCUUACCUGGUCUGACAUCACAGACUUUUCAGAGAUGGAUGUGCUUCGGGACUGUGAGACAGUGCUGCAUGGCCUGUCGUCAGCUCGUGCUGUGAAAUGUCGGGUUAGGUCUGCAGCGAGUCGCUAUCCAUAUCC